GGACCCGCACAAGUAGUGGAGCAUGUGGUUUAAUUCGAAGAUACGCGCAGAACCUUACCAACACUUGACAUGUUCGUCGCGACUUUAAGAGAUUAAAGUUUUCGGUUCGGCCGGACGAAACACAGGUGCUGCAUGGCUGUCGUCAGCUCGUGUCGUGAGAUGUUGGUUAAGUCCCGCAACGAGCGCAACCCUCACUUUUAGUUGCCAUCAUUAAGUUGGGCACUCUGAAAGAACUGCCAGUGAUAAGCUGGAGGAAGGUGGGGAUGACGUCAAAUCAUCACGGCCCUUACGUCCUGGGCUACACACGUGCUACAAUGGCCGGUACAGAGGGCAGCCACACCGCAAGGUGGAGCG
rnacentral:rRNA from 1 species